AUGUCGCCAUCGGAGGACACCUCACUUCCCUUCAAGCUUAAGAGAAAACAAUUCCCCAUCCGCCUGAGUUUUGCGAUGACCAUUAACAAGGCACAGGGUCAAACCCCGAAUGUCGGUAUUUACCUUCCCGAACCUGUUUUCUCACAUGGCUAGCUAUAUGUUGCAUUGUCAAGGGGUGUGUCAAGAAAGACGACACGAAUUUUAGCCAAGCCUAACAAGGAGGUUGAUAAAUCUGGGAAGAGCACCAAAAACAUUGUCUAUAAAGAUGUUUUAGAGGGGUGA
rnacentral:rRNA from 1 species